UCUCUUGUCGUCUAGUGGUUAGGACACAUGGUUUUGAGCCGAAAAUCUCCAUGUAACUUGGGUUCAAUUCCCAACGAGAGAU
rfam:Melampsora larici-populina 98AG31 unplaced genomic scaffold MELLAscaffold_11, whole genome shotgun sequence.